rnacentral:lncRNA from 1 species
GCUGUGUGAUCUUUUUAUUAAGCCAAACUUGUAAAUACCUCAGAUGGUUAAAGGAGUGUUAUUUCCAAGCAUCUUGAAUAUGUGAACAGUGACAAGUCAAUAAACAAACAGAAGCGUAAACUUGGUUCAAAUAGCGAGUCUGUGCUGCCACCUGCUGGAAAAUGUGAGAAAAUUGUCUGUUUUAAUGGAAUAGCAGUGAUGUAUGCUGCAUUAAAUAAGAAAACUCAGGUCUGCAGCUUCACUCCUGAAGUCAGCCAGACCGUGAACCCACCAGAAGCAAGAAGGAACAAACUCCGGACUCACCAUCUUUGAGAACUGUAGCACUCAUCACAAGGGUCCAUGGCUUCAUUCUUGAAGUCAGUGAGACCAAGAGCCCACCAAUUCCAGACACAUAAUCACCAGGAAGAUCCAGACACACGCAGAGGUAAGACCAUUUAAAGAUGGAAAGAAGAUUACUGUCUACAAGACAAGGAAAGAGGCCGUAGAAGAAACCAACCAGGCCAAAACUUUCAUCUCAGACUUCUAGCCUUCAGAACUACUUGCAUCACAAGAAGAAAAGAAGAAAAAAGAGAUGUAACUAUGGGAAAUACUGGAUAUGUUAAUUCACUUGACCUGUAGUAAUCACUUCAUUAUAUAUGUAUACCAAAACAUCUUGCAGUACAACUUAAACAUACAGAAUUUUUUAAAAGACUGCAUCUUCAUGCUUGCUUAAGGACAUAAAUUUUCAGAGAGCACUGUGAGAAAAUAAUCAUGUUCAUGGUGAUGUCUAAUCAUCGCCCAAUGGUGCUCAGUGGCAUUAUAGGAGCUAUGAGUAAUACAAAAAUCAGAAGUAUUCCAAUCACAUUGCAUUUGAAUUCUAUGCUCCAAAUUCAUAAUCCAAUCUCCCAUCCAAAUUACUGUUUGACAGAGAUCAUUAAUUUGAUUUGCCAAUUUUUGAUCUAUUUGGCUUUGGGAAUUCCAAAGCUUAGAAGAAUUUUUCUGCCAACUAUCCACAAAGCCUGCAGUUUGAAUAGAAGAGUGCAAAGCAACAGCAGCAGCAGCAGUAGCUGUAACAGCUAUAAGGCCCAGGAUCACAGCUAUUAAAGUCGGUGGAGUUGCUUGGCGAGCUUUACAGUUUCCAUCUGCUCAACAGAGACGUUCUUCUGAGCCAUCUGACGAACUGGGGGUGCAGGGAUGUUCCGAGGUCUUUUCCUCUUCCUUGGAUUCUGGCUCAUGGCACAGCUUAAGAUGUCUUGUGGGUACCCAGACAGGAAGCUGAUUCUCUCCUGGUGAGAUACAAGCAAACCCUUGACCCCUUGUAAUGAUUUUGCCUUUUUCCCAGGUUUUGGUUCUGACAUCCUUCCACCACACAUGUUUUCCCUCAUGAGAAUUUAUUUUUUGCCCUGUCAAAUGCUGCUUUGCUGCCGUUGUAACCUGAUCUCUAGAUAAAUUCAAAAAAUUUAAAGUGAUAAGAGCCAAUUGUAUCUGCAUAUGGGGAGUAGAGUAUUCUCUGGUUCCCCCCUCUGUCUUUUGUUUUUGUAAUUGAGAUUUUAGGGUUCGAUUAGCCUGUUCAACAAUGGCUUGGCCUUGAGAAUUAUAGGGUAUUCCAGUACUGUGCUCAAUGUGCCAUUGUUGAAGGAACACUUGUAAAGAUUUACUGCAGUAGCCUGGGCCAUUGUCUGUUUUAAUCUUUUGUGGGAUGCCCAUGGCAGCGAAACAGGAAAGUAAAUGUCUUUUAAUAUGAGCAACCACCUAACCUGUUUGGCAAGUUGCCAAUACAAAAUGAGAAAAGGUAUCUAUAGUAACAUGGACGUAUGAAAGUUUCCUGAAUGAAGGUACGUAGGUUAUGUCCAUUUGCCACAACAUAUUGUGGGUUAAUCCCCAUGGGUUAACACCAGUCCCUUCAUGUGGCAGUUGUAGUACCUGGCACUGAAGGCAAUGUUGCAAAAUGUCCUUUGCCUGUCUCCAAGUAAUCUGGUAUUUUUGUUUAAGUCCUGCUGCAUUAACAUGUGUUCGGGAGUGAAAAUCUUGGGCAUUAGUAAGCAUAGUGGAAACUAGUAAAUCAGCUUGAUCGUUAUCCCUUACAAGGGCCCAGGAAGAUUAGUGUUUGCUUGAAUGUGCAUAAUAUAGAAAGGAAAACAGCGAUCAUGCACUGCCUUUUGUAAAGAAGAAAACAGCUGAUAGAGUUGUUCAUCCACAAGAUAUUUAAUGAGUGUAGUUUCUAUAUAUUGAGUGGCUUGAACAACAUAAGCUGAAUCAGAGACAAUCUUUACAGGUUGCUUAAAGUCUUCUAACACAGCUAUAACUGCCUCUAAUUCAGCCCUCUGUGCUGAUUGAAAGUCAGUGUGAAUAAUUCUGUUUUUGAGUCCUACAUAAGCUGCUUUUCCAUUGCUAGAUCCAUCUGUAAACACAGUUAACUGCUCCUUCCAAUGGAGCACUAGGGGUAAUUUUUGGAAGGACCCAUGUUGUUAGCUUUAAAAACUGAAAAAGUUUGUUUUUUGAAUAAUGAUUGUCAAUAACUCCAAUGAAUCCAGCUAAAUUUAUUUGCCAAUCGACCGAAUUAACAAAGGCUUGCCAAAUCUGAUUUUUAAUCUUUGGAACUAUAAUCUUAUCUGGAUCUGAGCCACAAAGUUUAACAACUCUAAGGUGAGCUUGCCCAAUCAAGAUUGCCAUCUGAUCCAAGUAUACUGUGAGUGUUCUAACAGUAUUGUGAGGCAGAAAAGACCAUUCAACUAAGUCUUCACUCUGAAUUAUAACCCCUGUAGGAGAAUGGAGAGUAGGGAACACAAUGAACUGUAAUGGUAAACUUGAGUCUAUUCUAUUAACCUGGGCCUGUUGUAUUUUUUUCUUCAAUCAUUUGUAAUUCUUUGGCAGCUUCAGGAGUCAGUUCUCAUUUACUAUUGAGAGCAGGGUCUCCUCUUAAAUAGAGAACAGAUUAGACAUAGCAUAGGUAGGGAUUCCCAAAGUAGGUUGAAUCCAAUUGAUAUCCCCUAAUAAUUUUUGAAAAUCAUUUAAAGUUUUCAGAGAGUCUUUUUGAAUUUGAACCUUUUGGGGUUUAAUUGCCCUUUCCUGAACCUGCAUUCUCCAAUAUUGGAAAUGAGUGGCCAUUUGAAUUUUAUCUGGUGCUAUGAGCAACCCAGCAUUGGCUACCACCUCCUGUAAAUAUGAAUAACACUGGAUAAGUCGGUCUCGAUUUUCGGCCGCACACAAUAUGUCAUCCAUAUAAUGAAUGAUAUACGAAUUGGGAAACUGAUCUCUCACAGGUUGAAUAGCCUUCCCCACAAAAGUUUGACAAAUAGUAGGACUAUUCAACAUGCCCUGUGUCAGGACUUUCCAAUGAUAUCUGGCUACUGGUUCCUUGUUGUUCACGGCAGGAAUAGUAAAAGCAAAUUUCUCAAAAUCAGACUCUGCUAGAGGAAUACUUCAAAAGCAGUCCUUCACAUCUAUAAUUAUUAAUGGCCAGUCUCUAGGAAUCAUGGUGGGGGAAGGAAGCCCCAGCUGCAGGGCCCCCAUCAGCUGGAUGACUGCAUUGACCACUUGUAAGUCACUUAGCAUGUCCCAUCUGCCAGCUUUUUUCUUUAUUACAAACAUUGGCGAAUUCCAUGGAGAAAAUGUUGGCUCAAUGUUUCAUUUGUUUAAUUGCUCUUUGACUAAUUCCUGUAAGGCCCCCAAUUUUUCCUGAGAAAGCAACCACUGCUCAACCCAAACAGGAUUUUGCGUCUUCCAUUUUAAGGGAAUAGGACUUGGAGGCCCAACAAUGACUACCCCUAAAAAUGGUAACCUAAUCCUUUUUGGUCAUUUUUUACAGUAACCUGUAUGGGUCCAAU